rnacentral:rRNA from 1 species
UACGUAGGUGGCAAGCGUUGUCCGGAUUUACUGGGCGUAAAGAGCGCGCAGGCGGUCGUUCAAGUCGCGUGUGAAAGCCCCCGGCUCAACUGGGGAGGGUCACGCGAUACUGAUCGACUCGAAGGCAGGAGAGGGUAGUGGAAUUCCCGGUGUAGUGGUGAAAUGCGUAGAUAUCGGGAGGAACACCAGUGGCGAAGGCGAGCUACCUGGCCUGUUCUUGACGCUGAGGCGCGAAAGCUAGGGGAGCAAACGGGGAUUAAGA